UGUUCUCGGAUGGAUUUGAGUAAGAGCAUACGGGGCCGGACCCGAAAGAAGGUGAACUAUGCCUGUAUAGGGUGAAGCCAGAGGAAACUCUGGUGGAGGCUCGCAGCGGUUCUGACGUGCAAAUCGAUCGUCAAAUAUGGGCAUGGGGGCGAAAGACUAAUCGAACCUUCCAUAGGCUCUUGGUGAAUCAUGAUAACUUCUCGAAUCGCAGGGCCUUGCGCCGGCGAUGGUUCAUUCAAAUUUCUUCCCUAUCAACUUUCGAUGUUUGGGUAGUGGCCAAACAUGGUUGCAACGGGUAACGGAGGGUUAGGGCUCGACCCCGGAGAAGGAGCCUGAGAAACGGCUACUACAUCCAAGGAAGGCAGCAGGCGCGCAAAUUACCCAAGCCCGAUCCGGGGAGGUAGUGACAAUAAAUACCUAUAUAGCCUUCAUCCAUUCUCAAACUUUAAAUAUGUAAGAAGCCCUUGUUACUUGACUGAACGUGGGCAUUCGAAUGAGGGAGCUGCCGACCUAGCGGCUGGGGCAGACGCUGUCGGGGGGGGUUGGCGCGCUGCAGGUCACGUGACAUGAUACAACCAAAAAAACUCUUGUGUUUUCCAAUGCAUGUCUGAGUGGAUUUUUGCAAAUCAAAAUGAAUCAAAACUUUCAACAACGGAUCUCUUGGUUCUGGCAUCGAUGAAGAACGCAGCGAAAUGAUUUUCAGUGUGAAUACAAACCAUGAAAGUGUGGCCUAUCGAUCCUUUAGUCCCUCGACAUUUGAGGCUAGAGGUGCCAGAAAAGUUACCACAGGGAUAACUGGCUUGUGCAGGCAGGCCUAUGCUCGAAUACAUUAGCAUGGAAUAAUGAAAUAGGACGUGGAGGGAAUAAUUCUCACGCCAGGUCGUACUCAUAACCGCAGCAGGUCUCCAAGGUGAACAGCCGGCUCGACCCCGGAGAAGGAGCCUGAGAAACGGCUACUACAUCCAAGGAAGGCAGCAGGCGCGCAAAUUACCCAAUCCCGAUCCGGGGAGGUAGUGACAAUAAAUACUGAUACAGGGCUCUUUUGGGUCUUGUAAUUGGAAUGAGUACAAUUUAAAUCCCUUAACGAGGAACAAUUGGAGGGCAAGUCUGGUGCCAGCAGCCGCGGUAAUUCCAGCUCCAAUAGCGUAUAUUAAAGUUGUUGUGGUUAAAAAGCUCGUAGUUGACCCUUGGGCCUGGCUGGCCGGUCCGCCUCACCGCGUGCACUGGUCCGGCCGGGCCUUUCCCUCUGUGGAACCCCAUGCCCUUCACUCCAAUAGCGUAUAUUAAAGUUGUUGUGGUUAAAAAGCUCGUAGUUGAACCUUGGGCCUGGCUGGCCGGUCCGCCUCCCCGCGUGCACUGGUCCGGCCGGGCCUUUCCCUCUGUGGAACCCCAUGCCCUUCACUGGGUGUGGCGGGGAAACAGGACUUUUAUGGCCGGUCCGCCUCACCGCGUGCACUGGUCCGGCCGGGCCUUUCCCUCUGUGGAACCCCAUGCCCUUCACUGGGUGUGGCGGGGAAACAGGACUUUUACUUUGAAAAAAUUAGAGUGCUCCAGGCAGGCCUAUGCUCGAAUACAUUAGCAUGGAAUAAUGAAAUAGGACGUGCGGUUCUAUUUUGUUGGUUUCUAGGACCGCCGUAAUGAUUAAUAGGGACAGUCGGGGGCAUCAGUAUUCAAUUGUCAGAGGUGAAAUUCUUGGAUUUAUUGAAGACUAACUACUGCGAAAGCAUUUGCCAAGGAUGUUUUCAUUAAUCAGGAACGAAAGUUAGGGGAUCGAAGACGAUCAGAUACCGUCGUAGUCUUAACCAUAAACUAUGCCGACUAGGGAUCGGACGAUGUUAUUUUUUGACUCGUUCGGCACCUUACGAGAAAUCAAAGUGCUUGGGCUCCAGGGGGAGUAUGGUCGCAAGGCUGAAACUUAAAGAAAUUGACGGAAGGGCACCACCAGGGGUAAACCUGACCUGUGAAGCCGCAGUCAACUCUGCUCCAGAAAGCCGCCCGAAAGGGUCGGUGGUGUUCCUAGGGGAGAGCUCUCCCCUAAACUAAUGGCUAGUCCUGCCGCCCGCGGCAGGGCGACACCCUCAAACUGACGGGGAACUCCUAAAGCCCUCGCUCCGGACAGGCGUCGGGAAACCGACGGCCUGCUCACCAGGCUAACGACCUCGGGUAUCGGAAGCAACGCGAGAGGAUGCUACAAUGGACAAUCCGCAGCCAAGCCCCUACGGUGCGGCCUCUACGGGGGUCGCAUACGGGGAAGGUUCAGAGACUUGACGGGGGUGGGUGGCGCGGGCUCUUGGGGUGCAAGCCGCGUGCUUGCUUGCAGGCCACGCGGCGAUACCGCCCGCACGUACAGAUGGACAAGAAUAGGCUCCGGCUUAGCGUCUUAGCAGGCGAUCUGUCCGCGGCGCAGGAAGCGCGCCGCGGUGUUUCGCGUAUUGUAAUUUCAACACGAGCGGGGUCAAAUCCUUUGCAGACGACUUAGCUGUGCGAAACGGUCCUGGGG
rnacentral:ncRNA from 1 species